rnacentral:snoRNA from 1 species
GCCCUGUGGUUGCUGGAUGUUGUUGUGCAUGUACAGCUCUCCAGUGGAUUCGAUGGGCCAUAGCAAUCCUGUGAUUGAUGCAUGGAGGCUGCUUCUCCUCCACAGCCGCCAUAGCCCGGUCACUGGUACAUGG